AACGUAGGAGACGAACGUUAUCCGGAGUUACUGGGCGUAAAGCGUGCGCAGGCGGUUUUGUAAGUCUGACGUGAAAUCCCCGGGCUCAACCUGGGAAUUGCGUCUGAUACUGGUUGGCUUGAAUCCGGGAGAGGGAUGCAGAAUUCCAGGUGUAGCGGUGAAAUGCGUAGAUAUCUGGAGGAAUACCGGUGGCGAAGGCGGCAUCCUGGACCGGCAUUGACGCUGAGGAGCGAAAGCCAGGGGAGCAAACGGG
rnacentral:rRNA from 1 species